rnacentral:tRNA from 1 species
GGUAGCGUGGCCGAGCGGUCCAAGCGUGUAGGCUCCAGUCUCUUCGGGGGCGUGGGUUCGAAUCCCACCGCUGCCA